rnacentral:rRNA from 2 species
UAAUACAUGMAGUCGAGCGGRWUUUGAAAAGCUUGCUUUUCAAAWCUUAGCGGCGGACGGGUGAGUAACACGUGGGCAACCUGCCCUUGAGACGGGGAUAACUCCGGGAAACCGGAGCUAAUACCGGAUAACACAUAUCUUCGCAUGAGGAUAUGUUAGAAGGUGGCUUUUAGCUACCACUCAAGGAUGGGCCCGCGGCGCAUUAGCUAGUUGGUGAGGUAACGGCUCACCAAGGCGACGAUGCGUAGCCGACCUGAGAGGGUGAUCGGCCACACUGGGACUGAGACACGGCCCAGACUCCUACGGGAGGCAGCAGUAGGGAAUCUUCCGCAAUGGACGAAAGUCUGACGGAGCAACGCCGCGUGAGUGAUGAAGGUUUUCGGAUCGUAAAGCUCUGUUGUUAGGGAAGAACAAGUAYCUGUURAAUAAGCAGGUACCUUGACGGUACCUAACCAGAAAGCCACGGYUAACUACGUGCCAGCAGCC